ACAGGAUCCUGCGCCCAACCCAGAGCCCUCCCAGCCUAAGAAGCCCCAUCUUUCUGUCUCCACGCAUGGAGAGCUGCAGCUGUGAGGCCCAGGACCCUUAGCAGGACAUGCAGAGCUGGGCAGGGACCCAGGCUCAUGCUCCCAGCGUGGGUGGGGAACACAGAGCCCUGCCCAGAGGCUUGAACCUGGCACCACAGGGGUCUGGAAUUACACAGAAGACAGGUGACAGCCAAGGUGGAUCAUGAACGGUGAGAAGUCCAGCAGGUGACAAGAGGAAGGGUCUAAAGGGUGGAGGGCACAGCGCAAGCAAAGUCUUGGCAACAAAAGAGCUAAUGCAUCCCAGAAAUGGGGCAGGUGGAGUACUGGAAGCUACACCAAGCUUCAGAGUGGUCCUGUGGCCUCGGUGUGGUAGCUCAGGCCUAUAAUUCCAACACUUUGGGAGGCUGAGGCAGGAGGAUAACUUGAACCCAGGAGUUCAAGAUCAGCCUGGGCAACAUAGUGAGACCUCCAUUUUUACAAAAAAUACAAAAAUUAACUGUGUGUUGUGGUGUGUGCCUGGAGUCCCAGCUCCUCGGGAGGCUGAGGUGGGGGGAUCACUUGAGUUCUGGAGGUCAAGGCUGCUGUGGGCC
rnacentral:lncRNA from 1 species